UACGAAGGGGGCUAGCGUUGCUCGGAAUCACUGGGCGUAAAGGGUGCGUAGGCGGGUCUUUAAGUCAGGGGUGAAAUCCUGGAGCUCAACUCCAGAACUGCCUUUGAUACUGAAGAUCUUGAGUUCGGGAGAGGUGAGUGGAACUGCGAGUGUAGAGGUGAAAUUCGUAGAUAUUCGCAAGAACACCAGUGGCGAAGGCGGCUCACUGGCCCGAUACUGACGCUGAGGCACGAAAGCGUGGGGAGCAAACAGGGAUUAAGAAACCCU
rnacentral:rRNA from 1 species